rnacentral:rRNA from 1 species
AGCGAACGCUGGCGGUAGGCCUAACACAUGCAAGUCGAACGGCGGCACAGUAAGAGCUUGCUCUUACGGGUGGCGAGUGGCGGACGGGUGAGGAAUACAUCGGAAUCUACUUUUUCGUGGGGGAUAACGUAGGGAAACUUACGCUAAUACCGCAUACGACCUACGGGUGAAAGCAGGGGAUCUCCGGACCUUGCGCGAUUGAAUGAGCCGAUGUCGGAUUAGCUAGUUGGCGGGGUAAAGGCCCACCAAGGCGACGAUCCGUAGCUGGUCUGAGAGGAUGAUCAGCCACACUGGAACUGAGACACGGUCCAGACUCCUACGGGAGGCAGCAGUGGGGAAUAUUGGACAAUGGGCGCAAGCCUGAUCCAGCCAUACCGCGUGGGUGAAGAAGGCCUUCGGGUUGUAAAGCCCUUUUGUUGGGAAAGAAAAGCAGCAGGUUAAUACCCCGCUGUUCUGACGGUACCCAAAGAAUAAGCACCGGCUAACUUCGUG